CUCAUAGUCAGCAUCAUCAGUGCUGGAGAAUCCUACCCCAAAAUUCCCCCCAUCACCACCACCUAGAAGUUCCUCGUGAUCCCCAAGUGAUCCUGAGCGAUGAGGUUCGCUGACCGCGCCGCCAUCUUCAUCGUCAGAGGUCUCGUAACCCUCGGGCAAGGCUGUGAUGAAUUUAAGGGGUUUGUGUGGGUGUUCAACCCGCGAGACGAGCUUGGCGAAAUCGGAGAUGGAUUUCACGUUGCUGACUGGCCGCU